GACGAACGCUGGCGGCGUGCUUAACACAUGCAAGUCGAACGGAAAGGCCCUGCGUUUGUGGGGUGCUCGAGUGGGGAACGGGUGAGUAACACGUGAGUAACCUGCCCUUGACUUUGGGAUAACUUCAGGAAACUGGGGCUAAUACCGGAGAGGAGCUCCUGCUGCAUGGUGGGGGUUGGAAAGUUUCGGCGGUUGGGGAUGGACUCGCGGCUUAUCAGCUUGUUUGUGGGGUAGUGGCUUACCAAGGCUUUGGCGGGUAGCCGGCCUGAGAGGGUGGACGGCCACAUUGGGACUGCGAUACGGCCCAGACUCCUACGGGACGCAGCAGGGGGGAAUAUUGCACAAUGGGCGGAAGCCUGAUGCAGCAACGCCGCGUGCGGGAUGACGGCCUUCGGGUUGUAAACCGCUUUCGCCUGUGACGAAGCGUGAGUGACGGUAAUGGGUAAAGAAGCACCGGCUAACUACGUG
rnacentral:rRNA from 1 species